rnacentral:lncRNA from 10 species
CACUUGAAUAUCAUUCUAGGUUGUUUUAGUGUUUAGUCUGUAUUGCCAAUGGGCACUCAAAACAUUGAAAAUUACAUGGAAGGGCUAUGGAACACAGGAAAUUUUAGAACAGGAAAUCUCUGUAAGUCUAGCUGAGUCUACAAUUGUGGCACCCCAUAAUUAUUUUCCUUUGUAAUGCUUAUCUCCUUAAAAUAUAUAGUAUUUGUAUAAAUACACAUGUAUAUAUGAACACUACAUAUGUAUUAGCCAUCUGAACCUGCAUAGUAGAUUGCACUGUGCAUUUACCUCUCUCUUUGUAAAGAAAUCCCACUAAAACUUAUUUAAUACCAUGUUCUUUCUGGGCUUA